rnacentral:rRNA from 1 species
GAUGAACGCUGGCGGCGUGCUUAACACAUGCAAGUCGAACGGAGUUAAUACAGUGAAGUUUUCGGAUGGAUCUGUAUUAACUUAGUGGCGGACGGGUGAGUAACGCGUGGGUAACCUGCCUCAUACAGGGGGAUAACAGUUAGAAAUGACUGCUAAUACCGCAUAAAACUGUCACUUUGCAUGAAGAGACAGUCAAAGAUUUAUCGGUAUGAGAUGGACCCGCGUCUGAUUAGCUAGUUGGUGGGGUAAUGGCCUACCAAGGCGACGAUCAGUAGCCGACUUGAGAGAGUGAUCGGCCACAUUGGGACUGAGACACGGCCCAAACUCCUACGGGAGGCAGCAGUGGGGAAUAUUGCACAAUGGGGGAAACCCUGAUGCAGCGACGCCGCGUGAGUGAAGAAGUAUUUCGGUAUGUAAAGCUCUAUCGGCAGGGAAGAUAAUGACGGUACCUGACUAAGAAGCCCCGGCUAACUACGUGCCAGCAGCCGCAGUAA